rnacentral:lncRNA from 1 species
UCUAAUGAUUCCGUUUUUGGCGAUUCAUGCCAAAAAGGGGGAGAAAUGAGCCCAAAGCAAAAGGACCGCACCACCACCACCAAAUUCAAAAACUUAGUGCUUUCCAAAAGUAUUUAUCAUUUGGUAUCCUAUUAUGUUCAAAAAAAAAGGGAAAAAGUAGUAUUUCAAAAAUGGUAUAUCAAAACCCUCUUGAACACUAAGAGGUGGAUCUCUUUUAGGGGGAGUUUUGUUAAGUCAAAGGAAAAGCAUUUGAAACAGGGGGAGAAUAUUUCAAAUCUUGAAAAUGCUUUACAAACUCUUAUUCAUUUACCCUUGACUAUUUGCAAAAGAUCUUUGAAAUGGAUUUACAAAAAGAAUUUGCAAAAACAAAACAUGUGGUGCAAUCGUGGUCCAAAAUACUAAAUAAGAAAGAACCAUUCAUGCAUAUCUUAUGAAAUCAAUAUUGGUUUAAAUUCCAAGCAAUCUUUGCACUUACCGUAGGCAAACUAGUUCAAUUAUGCUCUUAUAUUUCUGCUUUGGUUUGUGUUGGCAUCAAUCACCAAAAAGGGGGAGAUUGAAAGGGAAAUAGGCUUUAAACCUUUUCCUAAAUGAUUUUGGUGAUUGAAUGUCCAACACAAACAAUUGGACUAAUUAGUUUGCUCUAGAUUAUAUGUUCUACAGGUGCCCAAGACUCAACAUAAAACCAAUAAAAAGAACAAGACAAAAGUCAAAAGAAAGGAGCAAAGGGGCAACCGAAGGCACCCCUGGUCUGGCGCACCGGACUGUCCGGUGUGCCACCGGACAGUGAACAGUACCUGUCCGGUGCACCAGGGAACUCAGACUCAAACUCGCCACCUUCGGGAAAGUCUGGGGCCGGCGCGCUAUAAUUCACCGGACUGUCCGGUGUACACCGGACAGUGUCCGGUGCUCCAACGGAACGCGGCCUCAGGAACUCGGCAGCCUCGGGAUUUCACGAAGACUGCUCCGCUAAAAUUCACCGGACUGUCCGGUGUGCACCGGACUGUCCGGUGUGCCAGCGGAGCAACGGUCAUCUGUGCCCAACGGUCGACUCUGACAGUAAACAGUGCAGAACAGUACACGCGGCAGGAGUCAGAGCAGAGGAUCAGAGAGGCACCGGACUGUCCGGUGUGCACCGGACUGUCCGGUGCCACAUGAGGACAAAGCCUCCAACGGUCGACCAGCUCCAACCCCAACGGAUAGGAUGACGUGGCUGGGGCACCGGACAUGUCCGGUGUGCACCGGACUGUCCGGUGCGCCCAUCGCCAGCAGACUUCAUCAACGGCUAGUUUUUGGAUGGUGGCUAUAAAUACCACCCCAACCGGCCACUUCAAGGUGUGGGAGUCCAAGCAACAUUCCAAGUCAUCUAGUUGACAUACUCAAGCCCUCCCAACCACAUAUAUUCAUUGAUACAUCCUAUACACAAGAUCUAGCCCACUACAACCAACACAAGUGCCACAAAAGAGAGAGCGAGCAAUUGAGAGCUACUCAAUUGAGUUUAGCCCUAGUGCCUUGUGAGAUUCAUUGAGAGAUAGUGUAUGCUUCAUCUUUGUGUUCAUUUGCGCGUGGAGUUUUGACUCCCAUUCAAACUUCCUCCAAAGUGUUGGAGGCUUGUAAAAGCUAGCAAGAGACACCAAAGAUUGUGGUGGUCCUUGUGGGAUCGAGAGUGAUCCUUGAGAAGAAGAAGAGCUCGCCGAUCCUUGUGUGAUCGGGAGAGAGGGAAAGGGUUGAAAAAGACCCGUCCUUAAGUGGACUCCUCAACGGGGACUAGGCCUUCGAGGGCCGAACCUCGGUAAAACAAAUCACCCGUGUUCAUUGUGCUUUUGCUUGUGAUUUGUUUGCUUUCCCUUACUCUAAGUUCUCUUGCACUAUUCUUUGCUCAUAUCAUUUGGUGUUGCUUCAAGUUAAAAUCUCAUUUAAGUGAAGCAACACUCCGCAAGAAAAGAACUUGAGUUAGUGCUCUUUUUCAUCUAAGCUUUCUUGCUUUGUUAUCAUAGAAUUAUUAGUUGUAUUGAUUUAUCACUUCCGCUUUAUUUGAAAGCUAUACUCUUUACCAGCAAGAACUUAGUUUUUAUACUCCGAUAAUUGUUCAUCUUGUUCUAACCACUAAUCAAAGGAUCUAGUUGGGGGAUAAAGUUUUAAUUUUCAGGUUUCGCCUAUCCACCCCCCCUCUAGGCGACUUUCAAUUGGUAUCGGAGCUAGGCACUUCAUCUUGAGUCUAACAACUCGAAGUGAUGGCUCGUAGAAGAUCCCAAAAGAACAAGAAGACUCCUCCAACGAACGCAACUCAAAAGGAGGUAACUCUUGAGAUAUUAUUUGAUGAUUGUUCUAAUUAUGAUUCAUGGUCUACUAGUGUGAUAAAUGCCUUUAGAACCAUACAUCCUCAAUUAGAACAAAUUAUUGACAAGAGUAUUUUCCCCUCUAGUUUUAAUGGAAAAAUUAAUUCCGAGGAGGAUCAAAGAUGUUAUCGCUUAAACUACCUAGCUUUUGACAUCUUAAACAAUUCUCUUAGCAAAGAAGAUUAUCGUGCCUUCAUAUCAAACUAUGACGAAUCCAUUCCCGAUGCGCAUGAUAUUUGGACUAGAAUUAAAAUCAAGUUUGAUGAGUCCAAACAUAAUAGUUCAUUUAAUGCCUCAACUUCCUUUAGUUUUUGUGAUACUAACCCUUGCAAGGAAGAAGGAGAAAAUGAACGAUGGAGACCAAACGAUGAAUCCACCUCUCCAAAAGGUUUGUCUUCCCAUUUCGAUUCCCACAUGUGUUGUGUAGCUAAUGAAAAUGAUAGCGGAAGCACAAACGAGGAUGAGGAGGAAGAAAGAAGCUUUGUGCAUCUCUACGCUCGCCUAAGCCAAGAAGAUAAGGCGGUCAUGCUCAAACUUCUAGAAAGAGCGAGAGAACAAAGCGAAGCUCGUCAAAGGCUAGAAGAUAUUCUCUCCAUAAAGAUGCAACACUUUGACGAGUUGACUAAAGAACAUGAGGAGCUAAAGUGCUCUCAUGUUGAUUUGGUCCAAAGGUAUGAAACUAUUUCAAUUGAGCAAGAUAACGCUUUACAUUGUAUCGCUCAAUUAGUAAAUAGGAAUACCUUGCUUAAGGACCAAAUAGAAAAGCUAAAAGUUGAAAAUCUAGCUUUUCAAAAUAAAUAUGAUAUGCUUCUAUGUUCUCAUGAAAAUCUUAUAGAUGAUCAUAUCAUAUUAAACAUUGCUCAUGAGGUUGUGAUAGAAAAUUUAAAAUCCCAACAACCUCACUCAUGCACAUGUAUUCAAAUUGAUACUAUAUUACCAUGUGCUAAUGCUUGUUGUUUGUCAACAAGCAAAUCUUCCUUUGAGCUAGAAUUUGCAGGAACAAAUGAUGAUUCAUAUCAAAAGCUCAAAGAAGAAAAUGAGAGGCUAAAGAAGAGCUUGACACAACUAAAAGGGAAAUGCAUUGCCCAACCUUCUCAAGAUAACCGUGAUCACAUGGUGAAGAAGCUUGAGACGGGAACAACCGUGGCAUGCACUACAUCCCUUGAAGAAAAUGUCAAGGAUUUGAGGAUUGCCAUGAGGAGGAAACAAAAAAUGAAAUUCAACACCUCCUCCAAAAGCCUCAACCACGCCUCCACAAAAGGUAACAUCCAAGGUAAUGAUCAAGCCACACUUCACAUUAAGAGGUGUAGUGAAUGCUUUGAAAUGGGGCACUUGAUUAGGUCAUGUCCCUAUAUUAAUGGCUUGAUUAUUAACAAGGAUGAUAGACUUUGUUUUAAAUGCUCUAAGAAAGGACACUUGCUUAGAUCUUGUCCCCAUUUAAAACAAAAAGGCAUAGGGUUAGAAAAGAAAGUUUUUACUAACCAUGUAGCAGGCAACAAGCAAGGAAAGAAGAAAACUUCAAAACUUGAAAAACGCCUAUGCUACACAUGCCGAAGAAAGGGACAUCAAUGCAAGGAUUGUCCCAUUGGUAACAAUUCCACUCCUAGCUUGUCAAUUAAUUUUCAUGUAACUAGGCAACCCAAAAUUGCAACUUGUGCUAGAAAGGUAACAAGUUUACCAAGCGCUAGCACAAAGGACACUUGGGUUCCUAGAUCUUUGUUUACUAACCUUAACGGACCCAUCAAGCGAUGGGUACCAAAAUGUGCUUGACAAGAUUUGUAGGAGAAGGAGAUGAUAUGAACCUUUGGGGUGUUUGAGGAAGUUAAUUCAAUUCUUAUCAACUCAAGCUAUCAAUCUUCAAAUGAUCUACAUAUUCAAGAUUGACCCAAGGUUGUUUCAAUAUGUUAUUCAAAACCCAUAUCAUCUCGGGGAAGAUAUUGAUGUUGUAGGAAUUAAAGAAUUAUCAUGUGCGGAAUUUCAAAGCCUACAACAUGGAGGAAAGUCAAAGGAUGGUAACAUUUAUAUUCUUAAGUGCAAUUAUCUUAAUUUGUCAUGUGUCUUGUGUAGUCACAUAGAAAUAGAAAGCACUUAAGGAUGUUUUAAAAUUAUGUCAUCAUUCUUUGAAGAAAUUCCUUUCAUAUGGUAGAUUGUGUAUUUAUCAAUUCUAUAUUAUGACAAUCUACAUGUUUUAAAUUGUUGCAAUUUUUCAUGGCAUGUUUUUACAUUAAUUAUUAUUGCCAUGUUCUAGAUAUAGAGAGAUAUUUCAUGUUCUUAAAAGAAUAAGGUGUCAUGUAAGGAAUUCAAAUACUUAGGACACUUAUAAAAGGAAAGUUCUCUCUAUAACUAGAAAAGUGAGACUGAUGUUUUUAUCUAAAGUAAUUUAAGUAGUCUCACUUGUAGAGAAUAAGUUUCUCUAUGGAAAUGCGUAUCUCAUCAUGUCUAGGAAAUUCUAUCCAAUAAUUCAUGUUGUAUCUCUUAUUGCUUAAUUGGAUAUGAUUCUUCUACAUUUAUCGCUCUCCAUGUCAUGAAUUAGAUUUAUUCCCUUAAGUCUCAAGAAUUUAACCAUGCUUGUUUUAUGAGUUAAAACUAGGCAUACUUCAUGGAAUAAUCUAGUUCAUAUUAUAAAGUUUCCAUGCUUUAGUAAUUCACCUUUUCAUUCCCUAUCAAAAUGAUUACUAAAAGGAAACUAGUGCUUGUGUUGCUACUAACAUUUCUCUUAAGUUCAAAUUAUGAAAAUCUACAAGAAAGAAAGUGCACAAGCCUCAUGGGUUGAUCUUCACCCAAAGGAAGAAAGGUAAAAGCAAAGGUAUGGGAACUCAUUCUCUUAAGUUUGGUUCCCAUCUCAAUGGGUAUUUAAUCUAAAUUAUCAUAUUCUACCCUUGUGAGGAAUAGAUUCGCUAUUGGACCGAAAUUAACUAAGUGUGCUUUCAAAUAUCAUUUUCUUAAUGCUCAUGUCCAUUAGAAUCUAUUUAAUGCCUUUGCGAUAUCUAUAUAUAUGUUAUCAUAUUGUUUUACUUCCAAGUAAUGAUUAACUAAAUUCAAUAUGAUAAAGUAAAAUCUCCAAUGAUUAUUAAAAAGCUUAAAAGGUGCUCUCUCAUAUUUCUCAAAUGAAAUGCACUAAUGUUAAGGAUUUUACUUCAUGUCUGUGUGACUUGUGGAUGAUGAAUUAUGUAUGCUAAUCAUCUAAAGCAAUCAUCUUUCAUCAUACACUCCCUUGCGCUAUUGACAUCUCUCUCAAGUAUUUUCAAUAAGUUUGGAAGGAAAAAGAGACAACUACAAAGGGAGGACACUCAAAUGAAAAAGGAAGAACAUCAAGAACAACAACACCUACUUGGACAAUAAGGUCUUCACAACAAUCAAUGGUGUAGUUGUAAGCAUUCUAAAUCUUUUUCAUUGUGAGAAUACAAAGCUUAAGUUAUUUGUUGCAAAAUUUAUGAGCCUUGAUCAAAAUGUAUAAUGCUUCCCCCUUUAUGUCCUUAAAAGUGAAUGCAUCGAAAUCAAUUCUUUCAACUACCUGAUGCAUAUCUUUAGGGGGAGUCCAUUCUUAUAUUUUGAUUAUGUUGAGACUAUUGCUUUAUCUUAAUAAUUUCAUAUAGUCUCUUGCAUGAGAAUAAUGUUUCUCAUAUAGUAUGCUUCUUCACAUCAAUCCAACUUGUUAAAAUAAUGUCGCUUUUAUCAAAGAUUGUUGCUUUCAUUUCUAAAGUAGCUUGCUUAUUGGAUUCUCCUACUUUUAAGCUUGAUUGAAAGUUUAAUGUCCUUGUUGCUCUCUUGAUCACAUAUUGGUUGAUCUUUAAACAACUUCGAGUAUCACUUAUGUUUCUUAGUGCCUCAUGUAAUUUCAAUUUGAUCUCAAUUGAUAAUUUUAAUUGACAUCUAUCUUGAUAUGCACUAAGGAAAAAGGAGAAUUCAUGAUUCAUUUAUGCAACUUGUGAUCCAUUUGAUAUAUGCUAACAAUAACUUGAAAAAGAUCACUAGUUGUAGAACUCUCUCUUGUGCAAAGUAUUUCCACACAUUGUCAUUGAGCAUAGGUCUUAAGCAAACAAGACUAAGGACAAAAGCACAAUGAAGAGAGCGUCUACAAGUAAAGGUACAAAACGGGUAAAACUUAUUCCUAUCAUUUACAUAUGUACCUAAAAUCUUCCUCUUAUAUACACUCUUUGCAUAUCUUGCAUAAAAGGAAGAGAAAGCAUGUCCAUGCAUUUUAUCCCUGCUUCAUACCUAGUUUAACCUCUUAAAAUUUCACUCAUGCAUUAUUGCAUCUUUGCUAAAACUAGAUGAAGUGAUUCUAUUGUCAAAGAGCUUAAAGCUUAACCUUGUAACGAGGAUAAGCUGCCUUUGUUCCAAAGGUGGAUGGUCCUUAAGUCUCUUUGAAAUCCUUAAAGGAAAAUGCUUAAAAUAUCUGCAACAUGCUUUCAUAAGUGCAUAAACUGUCUUGAGCAUCACUCAUAUACUAUGACACAAUGCACUUCACUUUCUCUAUGAUAUAGACUUGUUCUCAUUAACCUAAUUAUGUGCACUUGGCAUUUAAGGCCAAAAUAUGUAUUCCUCUCAAGGCACAUAUUUAGGGGGAGAAAUCUAUAUUAUAUAGAACUAUGAUCAUACUUAAUUGACAUAUCUCUUGAUCAUAUCUCUUUCAUUUUGGUACAAAUGCAUAUAUCCUAUUAUUCCCGUACCAUGACUACGACUAAUAUGUUUCCAAGUAUAUUACUAUGCUAAGUCGUAGAUUGAAAGGGAAAUGGAGUCUUCGGCGAAAACAAAGGCUUCCACUCCGUAAAUCAUACUUCGCCAUCACUCCAAGCAACUCUUUAUUCUUUGGGGGAGAAAUGAGCAUCAAAGAAAAGGACUUCGUCUCUGGAAGAGAGUAAGAGCCCAAAGCUAAAAGACCGAACCUCGCCUUUAGUAUAAUCUUAACUCAUUUAUUUAUGCCCAAAGGGGAAGAUAGCACUUCAAGGGCUCUAAUGAUUCCGUUUUUGGCGAUUCAUGCCAAAAAGGGGGAGAAAUGAGCCCAAAGCAAAAGGACCGCACCACCACCACCAAAUUCAAAAACUUAGUGCUUUCCAAAAGUAUUUAUCAUUUGGUAUCCUAUUAUGUUCAAAAAAAAGGGAAAAAGUAGUAUUUCAAAAAUGGUAUAUCAAAACCCUCUUGAACACUAAGAGGUGGAUCUCUUUUAGGGGGAGUUUUGUUAAGUCAAAGGAAAAGCAUUUGAAACAGGGGGAGAAUAUUUCAAAUCUUGAAAAUGCUUUACAAACUCUUAUUCAUUUACCCUUGACUAUUUGCAAAAGAUCUUUGAAAUGGAUUUACAAAAAGAAUUUGCAAAAACAAAACAUGUGGUGCAAUCGUGGUC